rnacentral:rRNA from 1 species
UACGGGGGGAGCAAGCGUUGUUCGGAUUUACUGGGCGUAAAGGGCGCGUAGGCGGCCACCGCAAGUCGGUUGUGAAAUCUCCGGGCUUAACCCGGAAAGGUCAAUCGAUACUGCGGGGCUAGAGUGCAGAAGGGGCAACUGGAAUUCUCGGUGUAGCGGUGAAAUGCGUAGAUAUCGGGAGGAAUACCAGUGGCGAAGGCGGCUUUCUGGGCCUGUUCUGACGCUGAGGAGCGAAAGCGUGGGGAGCAAACCGGG